AUACGGAAGGUCCGGGCGUUAUCCGGAUUUAUUGGGUUUAAAGGGAGCGCAGGCGGAGAUGCAAGCGUGACGUCAAAUUUCGGGGCUCAACCCCGUCUCGCGUCGCGAACUGCGUCCCUUGGUUGCGGGAAGGGGAGGCGGAACUCGUGGGGUAGCGGUGAAAUGCAUAGAUAUCACGAAGAACUCCGAUCGCGAAGGCAGCCUUCCGGCCCGUCAACGACGCUCAUGCUCGAAGGUGCGGGUAUCAAGCAGGAUUAGAUACCCUGGUAGUCCGCACAGUAAACGAUGGACACCCGCGGUUUGGCCUGUAUGGCUGAGCCGCCAAGCGAAAGCGUUAAGUGUCCCACCUGGGGAGUACGCCGGCAACGGUGAAACUCAAAUGAAUUGACGG
rnacentral:rRNA from 1 species